UUAUCCCUGCGGUGCGCGUGGAUCAUGAGCGCUAAUACAGGCGAAUCCAACAAUCACUGCGAACGGGGUCCGCGUUUGGGGCCGGUGUGCUGCCCCGCCAUCUGGCGGGGUUUGCCUGAAGGUUUCAAUAGGAUCCCACCCUGCUAAAAAGGGGUUCAGCCAUGUGCGCGGCAGCACGGCACUCGCGGGGCUUCU
rnacentral:other from 1 species